GAUGAACGCUGGCGGUAUGCUUAACACAUGCAAGUCGAACGGACUCUUCGGAGUUAGUGGCGGACGGGUGAGUAACGCGUGAGAAUCUGGCUUUGGGUUCGGGACAACCACUGGAAACGGUGGCUAAUACCGGAUGUGCCGAGAGGUAAAAGAGAAAUUGCCUGAAGAUGAGCUCGCGUCUGAUUAGCUAGUUGGUGAGGUAAAGGCUCACCAAGGCAGCGAUCAGUAGCUGGUCUGAGAGGAUGACCAGCCACACUGGGACUGAGACACGGCCCAGACUCCUACGGGAGGCAGCAGUGGGGAAUUUUCCGCAAUGGGCGAAAGCCUGACGGAGCAAUACCGCGUGAGGGAAGAAGGCUCUUGGGUUGUAAACCUCUUUCCUUAGGGAAGAACAAAAUGACGGUACCUAAGGAAUCAGCAUCGGCUAACUCCGUG
rnacentral:rRNA from 1 species